rnacentral:tRNA from 1 species
GGGUAGGUACCAGAGCGGUCAAAUGGGGCAGACUGUAAAUCUGCUGGCGAAAGCCUACGCUGGUUCGAAUCCAGCCCUGCCCACCA